rnacentral:lncRNA from 1 species
AAGAAACCCUGCCCAGGGUGUGGACGUGUGAAUUAGAGGGAAAGGCGGGAAGGGCCAGCUCCCACAUCUCGCUAGCGCUGGCCCCCGAGGUCAAAAGCUACACGUGCGUGCCGAUGUGGGUUUGUAUAUCUAGAUAUGUAUUCCAUGUAACAUCUUUUCUUCUUCCCCCGGGGCCUUGGGACAGUGGCUCAGUGCUGAGGAGGGGCGGUGGCGCGCAUGCGCUCAGGUCCGUCCGUCCCGGGGGCACUUUGGGAGUCGUAGUCUCAUGUGCUUUGCAGCAGCUCGAGGAGGAGGAGGAGGAGGAGGAGGAGGGAAAAGAAGGUCGAAGCGUGCUAGCAGCCCUUGGCUGAGGUCCAGCAGCUCCCGGAGCAGCAGUAGCGGCAGCGGCGGCAGACACGGCGGCGGCGGCGGCUCCUGCACCCUCGCUACCGGGCAGGGACCAGACACAGUAGUAGCUUCCUCCCACCCCAUCAUGCCGGCCUCCCCCCCUCCCCUCAGCCCUAGGGCCAGAAGAGCGAGAAAGCAUGCCUGCGGUAAAGGGUCCGAUUGGAGCCUCGCUUCGCCUCGCCCCACCUCGCCUCGCCCCGCAUGCGGCCAGGAGAAGGGACAAGGGAGGCUUCCAUUCUAUCAUUGGGGAUUCUGGAAAACUGGAAGUGGUCAGAAGACUAGGGUACUUUCCACCUGUGUUGCGCCAAAGGAACUGGCCCAAAGUGUACCAAGAUUGUGGGUCGGAGUUAGGAAAGGGGCCCCUAUCUUCCAUCUCGAUUUAAAUGAAGAGCUGGGACUAGGGCAGAUAAUAUUCCAUCCCCCCCAACAAUUCCUGCGGUUUGCCCCAAUGGGAGACGGCUGGGGGUUGGUGGGGGCGAAUGGGCGAGUUGGGUUUCCCUUCUGACCCCAUCUCCCUUAUGAAAUAGGCAUGUUUGACGGGCGGGAUAUUGGGGAACACAAGGAGGGGAAAGAAAUGUUCAAUGGGCCCCCCCAUCCUCUCACCCACAGGGGGGAGGGGGGAAUUGCCGGUUGGCGCGUUUUUUAGCACUUUGAAUGGAGAACUCCAUUUCCCAUGAUGCCGUGUUCCUUUCUCUUUAAUCUCCGAGGCUGCUUCACCACGAGGGUCCGGACGCGUGGUGUCCACGACUGGUGCAAACACUGGGCUAGACCUGGAUGAGCAGCCUGAGUAGUGUGGGGCGGGCUCUAGCUGUCGCAGGAUAGAGAUUUGAGGGGCUAAGCAGA